rnacentral:tRNA from 1 species
GCCAGUGUAGCAUAAUGGUUUGAGUGUUGGACUGCAACUCUGGAGAUCAGGGUUCAAUUCCCAGCUUGACC